rnacentral:tRNA from 5 species
GCCCGGAUGGCGAAACUGGUAGACGCACCGGACUUAAAAUCCGUUGGCCGCAAGGCCGUGCCGGUUCGAUUCCGGCUCCGGGCACCA